AUAGCUCAGAUGAUAGAGCACCCGACUAGAGCUUCAGGGGGCCUGGGUUCAAAUCCCAGU
rnacentral:tRNA from 1 species